AGCCAUCAAAAGCUUCAUUGCUCCCUAAUCCUUUAAUAAAUGUUACUAUAAAUCUUAGAAACAGAUUAUGUAGAUGCCAAAUCCAUUUAUAUAGUGGCUGAGUAGAUUUAAAGUCCAAAGAUAUUAUGUUGAUAGCAUCGCUUUGCUGGUUAUAAACACAUGUAAAGAAAUGUGACAUUCACUAUGAGCUAUUUGUUGUUUUCCAGGUCUCAGAAACCAAAGUUCUGAUUAGAUUGAACUGUAAGCAGGAUGUUAUUAAAAGCUAUCUUUCCAAUUUUUUGGACAAACAAUUUAUGCUCAAUUGGAUCUGCCAGUCUACAUUUUUCUCCCAUUUCAGAAGGACAGAGAGAAGAGCAAACGUCUGUCAUCAACCUUGAUUGGGAUGCAUCAACAGAGCACCACUUUAGUUCACUCCCACAAACACCUGAGCUACUACUGUUGUGCCCAUAUCCCAGUCUUUCACUGACCCAAGGACUACGGAGUAGGCAAAAAGAGAUUGUGGCCUGCACUUGCAUGGUAUACAGGAGACAUGCACGAAGCCGUGAAAAUAACUGUGUGUACACACUCUCCUCCACUGCAACAAGACCAUCACCUGUUUCAUAAUGACAUGACGGACCAAAUCACACCUAUCUAUUCUGGACAAUAUCUGAAUCUUAUACGCAUGCAGAUAAUAAUGCUCUGCUCUGUCUAGUAGACUGUUAACUGACAAUGGUAAGCAGAAAUAACUCUAAGUCAUUAUGUUAAAACCUUUCCCAUGAAAAAGAAAGAAUGGGAGUUAUAGUAAAUUUUCUGCAAGCUCAACAGAAGGCCGAAGUUACCUCAAAAAAUAUUCAAUGUAGUAGUGUCUGACACAUGUAGUAUAGUAACCAUAUAUAGCAACCAUUUAUAAUUGUUAUUGAUACAUAUUUUCCCACCAUAGAUACAACUUUGUGGAACUAAAAUUCCAGAAUAAGGCAAUACAUAAGGAUUUUGGAAUACUACCCUGUGCUGUAAUUAAAAGCUGCCAGAAACUCACUUAUAAGCUCCGAGAGCAUGAAAAAGAGAUGGAACGGUUAUCUCUGGAGAGUAACAAAGGUUUUAUCCACUCAUUCCUCUUUUUCUGAUCUAUUUCAUCUGUACUUGUUUGUUUCCAUUAAGUAUAAUUUUAAUUACAAAUCAUGGUCCAGCUCAGCUGUUUGCUAUGUAUUCAGCCAUACCAACCUGGGCAGUUUUUUCAUGAUCUAUCAAAGAUUAAGUAGGGUUAAACUAGGUCAUCACUAAGGUGGAAUGAAACCCCAGAUGCUAAAAUGAUUAUUUAAGAGAUUGUGUUUUUUCUUCAGCUACUACAUAUCUGCUUGGAAAUUUGAAGUUACUUUCCAGCAACAUAUUUG
rnacentral:lncRNA from 1 species